rnacentral:rRNA from 1 species
AGGCGAAGGUCGGGGAGUGAGCUGUGGUAAUUGGUAGGGUGGGAGAGGUAAUCGGUGUUACGGGGCGUAAAGCGUGUGGAGGGAGUUGUGUAGGAGAGGGGUGAGUGCGCGGGGCUGAACGGGGGAAUGGGUGUGGGGAGUGGAAAGGUGGAGUGCGGCAGAGGGGGGUGGAAUGCCGCGUGUGGCAGUGAAAUGCGGAGAUAUGCGGAGGAACAAGGGUGGAGAAGGCAAUCCCCUGGGCGUGCACUGACGCUCAUGCACGAAAGCGUGGGGAGCAAACAGGAUUAGAUACCCUAGAGC